UACAGAGACCUCAAGCGUUAUCCGGAAUCAUUGGGCGUAAAGCGUGUAGGUGGACUGGAAGGUCUGGUGUGAAAGCCCGGGGCUCAACCCCGGAGGGUCACUGGAAACCAACAGUCUUGAGUCUGGAAGAGGAGAGUGGAAUUCCUGGUGUAGCGGUGAAAUGCGCAGAUAUCAGGAGGAACACCGGUGGCGAAGGCGGGUCUCUGGGCAACAACUGACGCUGAGGAGCGAAAGCGUGGGGAGCGAACAGG
rnacentral:rRNA from 1 species